GCGUAUGAUUAGAUAGUUGGUGAGGUAACGGCUCACCAAGUCAACGAUCAUUAGGGGUUCUGAGAGGAAGGUCCCCCACACUGGUACUGAGACACGGACCAGACUCCUACGGGAGGCAGCAGUGAGGAAUAUUGGUCAAUGGGCGAGAGCCUGAACCAGCCAAGUCGCGUGAAGGAAGAAGGUUCUAUGGAUUGUAAACUUCUUUUGCAUGGGAAUAAAGUGAGCUACGUGUAGUUUAUUGUAUGUACCAUGCGAAUAAGGAUCGGCUAACUCCGUGCCAGCAGCCGCGGUAAUACGGAGGAUCCGAGCGUUAUCCGGAUUUAUUGGGUUUAAAGGGUGCGUAGGCGGGAAAUUAAGUCAGUGGUGAAAGUUUGCAGCUCAACUGUAAAAUUGCCAUUGAAACUGAUUUUCUUGAGUGUAAAUAAGGUAGGCGGAAUGUGUUGUGUAGCGGUGAAAUGCAUAGAUAUAACACAGAACCCCGAUUGCGAAGGCAGCUUACCGGGCUACAACUGACGCUGAGGCACGAAAGCGUGGGGAUCAAACAGGAUUAGAUACCCUGGUAGUCCACGCAGUAAACGAUGAAUACUAACUGUUUGCGAUAUACAGUAAGCGGUACAGCGAAAGCGUUAA
rnacentral:rRNA from 1 species